CGUAACGCGUAUGCAAUCUACCUUUAACUGGGGGAAUAGCCCAAAGAAAUUUGGAUUAAUACCGCAUAAUACUAUUGAAUGGCAUCAUUCGAUACUCAAAACUACGGUGGUUAAAGAUGAGCAUGCGUGACAUUAGCUAGUUGGUAAGGUAAUGGCUUACCAAGGCUUCGAUGUCUAGGGGGUCUGAGAGGAUGAUCCCCCACACUGGUACUGAGACACGGACCAG
rnacentral:rRNA from 1 species